UGCCAGCCGCCGCGGUAAUACAGAGGGUGCAAGCGUUAAUCGGAUUUACUGGGCGUAAAGGGCACGUAGGCGGACGCGUAAGUUAGUUGUGAAAUCCCCGGGCUUAACCCGGGACGUGCAAUUAAAACUGCGUAUCUAGAGUCGAAGAGAGGGUAGUGGAAUUUCCGGUGUAGCGGUGAAAUGCGUAGAUAUCGGAAGGAACAUCAGUGGCGAAGGCGACUGCCUGGCUUCAGACUGACGCUGAGGUGCGAAAGCGUGGGUAGCAAACAGGAUUAGAUA
rnacentral:rRNA from 1 species